rnacentral:rRNA from 1 species
UACGGAGGGUGCAAGCGUUAUCCGGAUUCACUGGGUUUAAAGGGGGCGUAGGCGGGCAGUUAAGUCAGUGGUGAAAUCCUUGAGCUCAACUCGAGAACUGCCAUUGAUACUAUCUGUCUUGAAUAUUGUGGAGGUAAGCGGAAUAUGUCAUGUAGCGGUGAAAUGCUUAGAUAUGACAUAGAACACCUAUUGCGAAGGCAGCUUACUACGCAUAUAUUGACGCUGAGGCACGAAAGCGUGGGGAUCAAACAGG